GGCACAUUGGCAGCCCAGCGCUCUGGAUGCCUCCCAGAAGCCUGAGUGGCGGUGGCGGGGGCAUCUGUUCACUGAAGGAAGGGCAGAGAGAAAAGAAUGGGCACUUAUUGAUUUUCUUCGAUAUGCCAGGCACCAGGCCAGGCCCCUUUGAUGCAUGAUCUCAUCAUGUAAAUAUAGGAUGGUGGUCAGGAGAUCAGCUUCCAAAAUUGACAGAACUGGGUUAGAAUUCCAGCUCCCCCAGUUUCUGGCUGGGUAGCACUGGGCAAGUGGGUUCACCCGCCUAAGCCUGACUUUGUUCCUCUGUAAAGUGUUUAUAAUCAAAGCGCCUUCCUCCAAGAGGUCCUUUCUCUAAAGCACACAGCAGCAUGCUGACCCAACAGGACGUACCCCGUGAACAUUAACGCCUUCUGUUAUGAACGACCAUGUGAUGCAGAAAAAAUCAUGCCCUGAUUUUUGGUAGACGCAGCGGCCAAAGCCUAAGAUGUGAAGAAACUCACCUGAGGCCACUAAAUUGGAAAGUGGCCGCGCGGAGAUGCAGUGCAUUGCUUUAGGACUGGACAGAUGAAAUCAGCAUCUUCCCAAACUUCUCUGCUGGAAGACUGUCUGGAAUAUCUCCCCUUGGCCCUCUGGGGGAUGCUGCCCACUCCACAGGGCUCCCUGAAGCUCUGUCUGAUUAUAAAGGUAAUACCUUCCAACAGAAAUACACAGCUGGGUUAUAGGAAAUGGAUAACAGAUGAUUCCUAGGAAAAUCAAGGUUUCAGAUGAAAAACCUGCACAAUUUCUGGGGGUGCAAGGUUUCCAGAGCCAGGAUUCUGGAAGGCUCCAGCCUCCAGCCCUCCCUCCCUAACCCAGAGGGAGGGCAAGAAGCAAACUAAAUGGGUUCUGAAGUGGGAAACAAAUUGGAUUUUUAAAAAAUGCUCUGGUUCUAAUGAUCGAAGAGGUUAUUCAUAAUCCUGGAGUAGAAAGCGUAUCUUGAAAUCUAUGUUUUGUGUUGACAGCUUCUCCCUAAUGGGCAAGAUCUCACACAUGAUAGAGCCAUAAAAUGUGGCACUCCUGGCUGGCCCUGCUGCUUGUCUGAUAAGGGAGAUGGAGGGACUCGCCAGCACAGGCAGAGGGCCCUGGGUCUUACCCCGCCCCUGUGCCUCCUCCCGACUCCAGCUGGUCUCGGCUUCCAGCAUGUUGGAAGGCCUGUUCUGCAGAACCCAAAGCCCGUGUUUUGCAAUGAUGAGGAUUCCAUGUUCAAGAAAGGCUGGGAAAUCUCUCCCCUCCUAGGGAUUCAAAACACCCAUGAGCACAGUCAUGGCUGUGAGGAGGCUUCCACUAAAGAAAACCUGGUAAGCUAUGCUCGACCCGGUUGUUCUCAGACUCCUUUGACUGCAGAACCCUGUUUUCACACAAGCCCUAUUGACGUCCUACAGAACAAAUGCUUUCCAGAACCUACGAUGCGUCAUAUAACAGUAUCCUUUUCCUAGGGCUACUCUAUCAAAACACCACAGACUGGGGGGCUUAAAUAACAGAAAUUCCUUCUCUCACAGUUUUGGAGGUUGGGAGUCUGAGAUCAAGGUGUAGGCAGGGUUGGCGACUUGGCUGUCUUCUCCCUGUGUCCUCCCAUGGUCCUCCCUCUGCACAUGUCUCUGUCCACAUAUCCUCUUCUUAUAAGGACACCAGUCAUGCUGGAUUAGGGCCCACCUCAGUGGCCUCGGUUUACCUUGAUUAUCUUUUUAAAGACCCUAUUGCCAAAAAUGGUAACAUUUGGAGGUGCUGGGAGUUAGUAUGUCAACAUAUGAAUUUGGAGGGGACCCAUUUCCGCUCAUAACAGUAGCAGUGGGCCUUGGCACUAUGAAACUUGGUAUUGGGGGGACCAUGAGGAGAGCAGAAAGGUAGGUAAGUGGGCAGGGCAUGGCUGCUGCCUGACCCUCUGCAUGCUUCCCAUUGCAACAGUAAUGACAUUAACACUAACUGCAUUUUCACACCUGGAAUCCCAGCAUUUUGGGAGGCUGAGGCAGGUGGAUCACUUGAAGCCAGGAGUUUGAGACCAGCCUAACCAACAUGGUGAAACCCCGUCUCUACUAAAAAUAUAAAAAUUAGCUGGGCAUGGUCGUGGGCACCUGUAAUACCAGCUACUUGGGAGGCUGAGGCAGGAGAAUCACCUGAACCCAGGAGGCAGAGGUUGCAGUGAGCCGAGAUCACAUCACUGCACUCCAGCCUGGGCAACAGAGCGAGACUCUGUCUCAAAAGAAAAAAAUAUAUAUAAAACCAGGAAGUGCAUUUGCCAGAUAUUUAUGCAUUACAAGUACUUUUCCAUCCAUCAAUUAAUGUGAUCCUUUUAACAACCUGUAAGGUUGGAGGUUCUACAGUUAUUUCCACUUAACAGAGAAGGAUGCCUGCACUCAGAAAGGUUGAGUCACUGGUUUGAAGUCACCCAGUAAAUAGUGAAGUCAAGGACUAAACCCAGGUGGACUUAAAGAACCAGUCCCGAGGAUUAAUGGAGGAUUGAUUCCCUGCCCUCCCUAAGAUGGAACCCGCAGUUGCUGGCAGCAGAAGCAAGAGUCAUCUCAGAAGGGCUCUGAGGGCCCCUGCCAGGCAGAGCCCGAGUUCCCACAGGUGGCAUUUACCCUGACGAAUCUGGGCCCAGGCUGAGGCCCACCUCACUUCUCGCCAGCCUGGAUGGAGAGCUGUUCCCCUGAGCUUCCCAAGUGUUUUCAGAUGAGUGGAUCCUGCUGGCUGCUCUAGGCACCUGCCCAUUUGUGCUGAAAGCCAACCAGCUGUGAAAGGUUGCAGAUUUCUGAGCUGUCCCAGGGGUCGGGUGUGGCGGAACGGGGACACAGACCGAGACCACCCCAGCUUUCCUGGACUCAUCUCAGAAACAGAGGCAGGCCCAGCAGUGAGCAUUCUUCAAGAAUGAGCAACCCAGGUCCAGGCUGACUGCGAGCGGGACCAGAGAAUUUGCUACUUGGAAGGCAGGAGAGGGUGGCGACUGGGUUAGCAGCUCCAGGAAACCAGCUGACUCACUUUGACCAUGUCCAUCCUGGCCUGGCCACCUGCUAUUUGCUUCCUUGGUGCCUCUUGAAAAAGUUUGAUGACCAGGUAAAACCCUUGCCUGCCACGCCCGGAGGCUGGCUCUUCAUGAAUUCUUCCUCUUGGUCAGAAGAUGCAACUCUCUAGGUGACCAGGCCUGUGCCCGCAGGCCUUGUGCCUCCCCUGGACUCACUGGGCACUCCUGCUGCACAUCUAGUCAAAGAUGCUUGGCAAAGGAAGGGCAGAUCACUGGGAGGGACGGACCCGGAGACCAGUCCUGACCCCAGAUUCUGAGCUGUGGAGCCCGGGGCAGCGGAUUUGUUGCCUUCACCUCAGGUUCAUCUUGGUACAAUGGGGCUCAUGAAUAAAUGUCAAGGUCAUUGUGAAGGUCCCAUUAAAGGAGAGGUAAAAAGCUCUUUGCAAAACUUCAAAACAGCUAUGUAAAUGAGGGUUGUUAAAAGAGCCCAGGAGGCAGAGGGGGAGGAAGGCUGGGGGACCAGCCGUAAACUACUAACUGGUGCAGUGCCAGCGGCUACCUAGAUGAGGCUGGGUGGGCACCGCACCAGGCAGGACUCACCCUCAACCUCCAGAGGGGCUUAGAAGAGGAGGUCCAUGAAAGAAUCCGAGUCUCCGGUGGUUGUGUGCCCAGAAAUACCUGGAACCACCGCAGAACCUGUACACUGGCCAAUCCCAGGGGGCACUAUCCCUGGAUACUCUCCCAUGCAUGGUGAAUAAGGUGCAGUGGCUGAGACCCUCAGGGAAAGGAACCCUCCACCAUGUGCCAUUUCCUCUUCCCAGGACUCUCUCUGACUCUGCCCCAGGCAGGGAUGGGACCGACCCCUGGGAACCUGGUGUGGCAGCGGUGGGGAUCACCCAGCAGAGGUUCAGGGAGUCACCCCUCACUCUCGCAGGAAGCUCACUCGUGUCAGUGGGUGGUUCAGUUCUGGAACAUUUCUCUAGAGAGGGGGGCCCGGAAGUCCCCCAGCUGGCUUCUUUAGGGCAGGCUGGGGCUAGGGAGAGGACAGCGAGGCCCAGGGUGUGGAUGUAAGCAGGCACUCACACUCAUGGGCCUGCCUGCAUGAGACUGACAGAGAGCGGUGCCUUAGAUUCCAGGGACUUCUCUUGCCUCACCCACAUGCCAGCCCUGCUUUUGGGAACCUCCCUUUUCAAGUUCUCUACUAAAUGACACCACCCACUGCCCAUCAUAACUCAUCCUAUCCUACAAGGUUAAAAUCGUUCAAGUCCUUGGCUGGGCA
rnacentral:lncRNA from 1 species